rnacentral:rRNA from 1 species
GACGAACGCUGGCGGCGUGCCUAAUACAUGCAAGUCGAGCGAGUCUGCCUUGAAGAUCGGAGUGCUUGCACUCUGUGAAACAAGAUACAGGCUAGCGGCGGACGGGUGAGUAACACGUGGGUAACCUGCCCAAGAGAUCGGGAUAACACCUGGAAACAGAUGCUAAUACCGGAUAACAACAGAUGAUGCCUAUCAACUGUUUAAAAGAUGGUUCUGCUAUCACUCUUGGAUGGACCUGCGGUGCAUUAGCUAGUUGGUAGGGUAACGGCCUACCAAGGCGAUGAUGCAUAGCCGAGUUGAGAGACUGAUCGGCCACAUUGGGACUGAGACACGGCCCAAACUCCUACGGGAGGCAGCAGUAGGGAAUCUUCCACAAUGGACGCAAGUCUGAUGGAGCAACGCCGCGUGAGUGAAGAAGGGUUUCGGCUCGUAAAGCUCUGUUGUUGGUGAAGAAGGACAGGGGUAGUAACUGACCUUUGUUUGACGGUAAUCAAUUAGAAAGUCACGGCCAACUAAGUG